CUCGUAGGCGGUUCGUCGCGUCCGGUGUGAAAGUCCAUCGCCUAACGGUGGAUCUGCGCCGGGUACGGGCGGGCUGGAGUGCGGUAGGGGAGACUGGAAUUCCCGGUGUAACGGUGGAAUGUGUAGAUAUCGGGAAGAACACCAAUGGCGAAGGCAGGUCUCUGGGCCGUUAUUGACGCUGAGGAGCGAAAGCGUGGGGAGCGAACA
rnacentral:rRNA from 1 species